AGGGAGUACCUGCAGGAAGUGGCGCGGAAUUUGUCCGGUCAGCGUGCUCGUGGACAGUCAUUGGUUACUGCCAAGAUGUUCUACUUUGCUGUCCGUCUGCAAGUGUUCUGUCCAGCUGCACCUGUCUGAAGUCCAACUGCAUCAGUGACUACAGGACAAUGGGAUCGAUACCAGACGAGAAUGCAUUCUUAAGGGACUGUGUGUCUACCUUAAUGAAGAUCCAGACAAGCUGGUGAAAGAAUACAAGGCGGAUGAUGAAAACGCCACGGCAGCUAUGGCAGAGACCAUCUAUGGCAUCUACAUAAUUCGACACAGCGGUGCAGAACCCAGUGAUGCCCCAGAGGAUGUGGAAAUCAUUCUGGAGGGGGUGACGGUACUCCGUGAGUUGAG
ensembl:lncRNA